rnacentral:rRNA from 1 species
AAAUUGAAGAGUUUGAUCAUGGCUCAGAUUGAACGCUGGCGGCAGGCCUAACACAUGCAAGUCGGGCGGUAGCACAGAGAGCUUGCUCUCGGGUGACGAGCGGCGGACGGGUGAGUAAUGUCUGGGAAACUGCCUGAUGGAGGGGGAUAACUACUGGAAACGGUAGCUAAUACCGCAUAACGUCGCAAGACCAAAGUGGGGGACCUUCGGGCCUCAUGCCAUCAGAUGUGCCCAGAUGGGAUUAGCUAGUAGGUGGGGUAACGGCUCACCUAGGCGACGAUCCCUAGCUGGUCUGAGAGGAUGACCAGCCACACUGGAACUGAGACACGGUCCAGACUCCUACGGGAGGCAGCAGUGGGGAAUAUUGCACAAUGGGCGCAAGCCUGAUGCAGCCAUGCCGCGUGUGUGAAGAAGGCCUUCGGGUUGUAAAGCACUUUCAGCGGGGAGGAAGGCG